UUAUUAUACCAGAAGGGAAAUACCCUUUGUUCGGUGUACAGAUAAGAUUAGAUUGAAAAAUUAAGUGUAUUGUAAAUAUACCUACUUAUCUGGAAAGAGUCAGUCAGCUGGCUCUUUUUUUAUGGCAU
rnacentral:ncRNA from 1 species